AAAAAAUCGUAUAGUAAAAGGAGAGAGAAAAGGCGACAGAAAUCAGUCGAGUGAGCACAUCCGACACGGCAACAACUGCAGUGAUUUAUCUGUCACCAACUGCGUUCCUCAUCGUUUUACCAUUGAGUAAUCAUGGUUAACUAUGGUGUUGUGCUGCUGUUGGGUGUUUCAUCGUUGAUGGCUGGGUCGACCACUGGUGUAUCAAUGUCUUCUGAGAAUGGCGGGUAGCAAACUGCAACACCGCCGCCUUACUACAUAACAACAACUUACGUAAAGACCGAGGCCCUCAAUUACACCACCAAGGCACCGGAGUACAAAGCGGCUGCUCCUUCGUACUACGUUGAACCGGAAUGCUACACUUAUGCUCCAGUUUACUACACCACAGCCUACGCUACACCUAGCUACUACACCGAAGCGGCGAAGCCCCCAAGUACUAAACCGACAAGGUCAAACAUUAUCCAACCACGUAUGCUGCCCUGGUCUACUACCCCGAGGAAACCAAAUAUUACUCUGUUCCAAGCUACCACCAAACAGAGGUUUCUGAUUACUAAACCACCGUGCCCCGGCGUUUUACACUACAACCUACGCUGCCCAAAACUACUGCAUUGGAGUCUCCAAGUUAGUACUACACCCUCAAGGCACUCGAGGAUUAUACCACUAAUUACGCUGCUCCGACCUACUACACCGGAGUUCCGAAGCACAACCCCACCUCGAGUUACUACGCUACUAAGGCAUCUGAAUAUUACACCACAACCUACGCUUCCCCAACUUACUACAAAGAGGUUCUUAUUACUAGAGCUGAAAUUUUUAUUUCAUUUUUGUGUGUUUUUAAUCUGAUGGUUAUAUCUUUAUGGUUACGAGUCACUGGGAAUUGAUUGUUUAUCUUUAAUGAGAAUAAAUAUUUAUAAUGCGAGUAA